UACGUAGGGUGCGAGCGUUAAUCGGAAUUACUGGGCGUAAAGCGCACGUAGUCGGCUUUGCAAGUCGGGUGUGAAAUCCCCGGGCUCAACCUGGGAACUGCAUCCGAGACUGCAUUGCUAGAGUAUGGGGAGAGGGAAGCGGAAUUUCUGGUGUAGCAGUGAAAUGCGUAGAUAUCAGAAGGAACAUCAGUGGCGAAGGCGGCUUCCUGGACCAAUACUGACGAUCAGGUGCGAAAGCGUGGGGAGCAAACAGG
rnacentral:rRNA from 1 species